rnacentral:rRNA from 1 species
AGAGUUUGAUCAUGGCUCAGAUUGAACGCUGGCGGCAUGCUUUACACAUGCAAGUCGAACGGUAACAGGUCUUCGGAUGCUGACGAGUGGCGAACGGGUGAGUAAUACAUCGGAACGUGCCUAGUAGUGGGGGAUAACUACUCGAAAGAGUAGCUAAUACCGCAUGAGAUCUAAGGAUGAAAGCAGGGGAUCGCAAGACCUUGUGCUACUAGAGCGGCUGAUGGCAGAUUAGGUAGUUGGUGGGAUAAAAGCUUACCAAGCCGACGAUCUGUAGCUGGUCUGAGAGGACGACCAGCCACACUGGAACUGAGACACGGUCCAGACUCCUACGGGAGGCAGCAGUGGGGAAUUUUGGACAAUGGGCGAAAGCCUGAUCCAGCAAUGCCGCGUGCAGGAUGAAGGCCCUCGGGUUGUAAACUACUUUUGUACGGAACGAAAAGACUCUUUCUAAUAAAGAGGGUCCAUGACGGUACCGUAAGAAUAAGCACCGGCUAACUACGUGCCAGCAGCCGCGGUAAUACGUAGGGUGCAAGCGUUAAUCGGAAUUACUGGGCGUAAAGCGUGCGCAGGCGGUUAUGUAAGACAGAGGUGAAAUCCCCGGGCUCAACCUGGGAACUGCCUUUGUGACUGCAUAGCUAGAGUACGGUAGAGGGGGAUGGAAUUCCGCGUGUAGCAGUGAAAUGCGUAGAUAUGCGGAGGAACACCGAUGGCGAAGGCAAUCCCC